rnacentral:snRNA from 1 species
AGAUACUAUUAACAAAGACAUCUGUCACCCCAUUGAUCGCCAGGGCUGAUCUGACUGACCUGGCUGGCUAGGCAGGUGUCUCCCUGUUUCAUGUGUGUCCCUCUCUAAGCUGCACGCUCGGUGGAAGAGGAAGACCAUCCCAGAUAGGAGUGUACCGUUCUUCGGUCAAGGCUUGAUGAUAGCUGCGCUCCCUGUAUAGAUAGAACCUCCCCCUGUAAUGCAGGAAUCUCAGCUAAAUAAUUUCAGCUACAUAGUUUGUGAGA